rnacentral:tRNA from 1 species
GCGGAAAUAGCUCAGUGGUAGAGCACCACCUUGCCAAGGUGGGGGGUCGCGGGUUCGACCCCGUUUUCCGCU